UAUACAUAUAUAUAUAUAAACAUACACUAUAUUGCCAAAAUUAUUCGCUCACCUGCCUUGACUCACAUAUGAACUUAAGUGACAUUGCAUUCUUGAUCCAUAGGGUUUAAUAUGACGUUGGUCUACCCUUUGCAGCGAUAACAGCUUCAACUCUUCUGGGAAGGCUGUCCACAAGGUUUAGGAGUGUGUUUAUGGGAAUUUUUGACCUUUCUUCCAGAAACGCAUUUGUGAGGUCACACACUGAUGUUGGACGAGAAGGCCUGGCUCUCAGU